rnacentral:rRNA from 1 species
GACGAACGCUGGCGGCGUGCUUAACACAUGCAAGUCGAACGGAAAGGCCCUGCUUUUGUGGGGUUCUCGAGUGGCUAACGUGUGAGUAACACGUGAGUAACCUGCCCUUUACUUUGGGAUAACUUCAGGAAACUUGUGCUAAUACCGGAUAGGAGCUCCUGCUGCAUGGUGGUUUUUGGAAAUUUUCGGCUGUUGGGGAUGGACUCGCGGCUUAUCAGCUUGUUGGUUGGGUAGUGGCUUACCAAGGCUUUGACGGGUAGCCGGCCUGAGAGGGUGACCGGCCACAUUGGGACUGAGAUACGGACCAGACUCCUACGGGAGGCAGCAGUGGGGAAUAUUGCACAAUGGGCGGAAGCCUGAUGCAGCAACGCCGCGUGCGGGAUGACGGCCUUCGGGUUGUAAACCGCUUUCGCCUGUGACGAAGCGUGAGUGACGGUAAUGGGUAAAGAAGCACCGGCUAACUACGUG